CACAUAGAGGCGCGAAGCUUAUCAGUACCUGCGGACACAACGGAAUGAAGGACGCAGCGAAAGGAAGAUUCGCCGAAACGAAUGUUUUCUGUCCGAGAAAGUGUUUGUUGGGUUGCAGCGGAAUACGUUGCAGACUGUCGCAAGGGAUUUCUUGCGGAGAGCUAUUG
rnacentral:ncRNA from 1 species